GGGAGAAAGGUCCAGGCUGCGGGAAAAAUCCAGAGCGGCGCGCGGGAGGCGACUUCUCCUAGGUCGCGUCUCCCGCGACUUCUCCUAGGCCACGCGACGCUAGCAGCGCCAUGGCUGAACUGAAAGCAAAGAGGGGUAGUCGUACUUACCUCACAUGGACAGAUGCGAUGGAUCUAGCUCUUUUGGAAGUUCUUGUGGAGCAUCACAAUAAUGGAGACCGUGGUCAAAAUGGUUGGAAGCCACAUGUCUACAAUGCUGCCAUAAGAAAUGUGAAGGAUAAGUGCAAUGUGGAUAUCACAAAGGAUAAUAUUUCGGCAAGGUGCAAGACCUUUGAUAAGCACUAUGAAAUCAUUAGCAAGAUACUAUCGCAGAGUGGCUUUGGGUGGGAUUGGGAGAACAAUAGACUUUCUAUGGACAAUGAAGAUGUUUAGUUUAGAUAUGUGGAGGCUAACAAAGGAGCAGCAUGCUACAAGACAAAAGUGGUGAAGAACUGGGAUGCAAUCUGCACUAUAUACUCCAAAGACCAUGCCAAUGGUGAAGGUGCCAAGACAGGGACUGAAAGUGGUCAAGAUGUGGUGAAUGACAGUCCUACAAAUGCCAAUGAAAACUCUCCGGUGUUAGCUCCAAAGAAGCAGCGAACUGGUGAUGCAAUUAUGGGUGUACUUACUGAUAUGAAAGCUUCAUUUCAGGAGGCUAUGCAGUCCAAUGCACCUUUAGAAUUGCCAAAGAAGACGGCUCCGUCUAAGAUCCUUGCAGCGCUUCAAGAAAUUCCUGAUUUACCUCGUGAAGACAUGCUACGAUCUUAUGGUAUGUUGCUAAGCCGUGAUGAUCGCAUAUUUGAAGCUCUUAUGGAGCUCCCAAUGGAAAUGAGGAAAGAUUGGCUGCUGUUUGAGAAUGAGAGGAAGUGAAGUAUGUGGAGACAACAUAGUCUUUUGCUACUCCAGGAUGCUAGUUAAAACUUGUUCUCCUAGUUAGUUAGUGGAGAAAGACUUUGCUUUUGCUACAAUGUAGUAGUUAAGAACUUGUUGAAAUAUUAACUAGUUAUCGUCAUGUUGUAUUGUCACAGGUAUUGUAGUAUUUAUUUGUGAUCUGAGUGAUCUGAAUGUUCA